CAACCUACGGAGGGCAGCAGUGAGGAAUAUUGGUCAAUGGGCGGGAGCCUGAACCAGCCAAGUCGCGUGAGGGACGACGGCCCUAUGGGUUGUAAACCUCUUUUGUCGGAGAACAAAACCCGGGACGUGUCCCGGACUGCGUGUAUCCGAAGAAAAAGCAUCGGCUAACUCCGUGCCAGCAGCCGCGGUAAUACGGAGGAUGCGAGCGUUAUCCGGAUUUAUUGGGUUUAAAGGGUGCGUAGGCGGUCCGUUAAGUCAGCGGUAAAAUUGCGGGGCUCAACCCCGUC
rnacentral:rRNA from 1 species